rnacentral:rRNA from 1 species
UACGAAGGGGGCUAGCGUUGCUCGGAUUUGACUGGGCGUAAAGGGCGCGUAGGCGGUUCGUACAGUCAGACGUGAAAUUCCUGGGCUCAACCUGGGGGCUGCGUUUGAUACGUGCGGACUUGAGUGCGGAAGAGGGUCGUGGAAUUCCCAGUGUAGAGGUGAAAUUCGUAGAUAUUGGGAAGAACACCGGUGGCGAAGGCGGCGACCUGGUCCGAUACUGACGCUGAGGCGCGAAAGCGUGGGGAGCGAACAGG